rnacentral:rRNA from 1 species
AUUGAACGCUGGCGGCAGGCCUAACACAUGCAAAUCGAGCGGAUGAAGGGAGCUUGCUCCUGGAUUCAGCGGCGGACGGGUGAGUAAUGCCUAGGAAUCUGCCUGGUAGUGGGGGAUAACGUCCGGAAACGGGCGCUAAUACCGCAUACGUCCUGAGGGAGAAAGUGGGGGAUCUUCGGACCUCACGCUAUCAGAUGAGCCUAGGUCGGAUUAGCUAGUUGGUGGGGUAAAGGCCUACCAAGGCGACGAUCCGUAACUGGUCUGAGAGGGUGAUCAGUCACACUGGAACUGAGACACGGUCCAGACUCCUACGGGAGGCAGCAGUGGGGAAUAUUGGACAAUGGGCGAAAGCCUGAUCCAGCCAUGCCGCGUGUGUGAAGAAGGUCUUCGGAUUGUAAAGCACUUUAAGUUGGGAGGAAGGGCAGUAAGUUAAUACCUUGCUGUUUUGACGUUACCAACAGAAUAAGCACCGGCUAACUUCGUG